rnacentral:rRNA from 1 species
AGCGGCGGAUGGGUGAGUAACACGUGGGGAACCUGCCCCUAAGUCUGGGAUACCAUUUGGAAACAGGUGCUAAUACCGGAUAAUAAAGCAGAUCGCAUGAUCAGCUUUUGAAAGGCGGCGUAAGCUGUCGCUAAGGGAUGGCCCCGCGGUGCAUUAGCUAGUUGGUAAGGUAACGGCUUACCAAGGCGACGAUGCAUAGCCGAGUUGAGAGACUGAUCGGCCACAUUGGGACUGAGACACGGCCCAAACUCCUACGGGAGGCAGCAGUAGGGAAUCUUCCACAAUGGACGCAAGUCUGAUGGAGCAGCGCCGCGUGAGUGAAGAAGGUCUUCGGAUCGUAAAGCUCUGUUGUUGGUGAAGAAGGAUAGAGGUAGUAACUGGCCUUUAUUUGACGGUAAUCAACCAGAAAGUCACGGCUAACUACGUGCCAGCAGCCGCGGUAAUACGUAGGUGGCAAGCGUUGUCCGGAUUUAUUGGGCGUAAAGCGAGCGCAGGCGGAAAAAUAAGUCUAAUGUGGAAGCCCUCGGCUUAACCGAGGAACUGCAUCGGAAACUGUUUUUCUUGAGUGCAGAAGAGGAGAGUGGAACUCCAUGUGUAGCGGUGGAAUGCGUAGAUAUAUGGAAGAACACCAGUGGCGAACGCGGCUCUCUGGUCUGCAACUGACGCUGAGGCUCGAAAGCAUGGGUAGCGAACAGGAUUAGAUACCCUGGUAGUCCAUGCCGUAACGAUGAGUGCUAAGUGU